rnacentral:rRNA from 1 species
ACCCGCUGAACUUAAGCAUAUCAAUAAGCGGAGGAAAAGAAACUAACAAGGAUUCCCCUAGUAACUGCGAGUGAAGCGGGAAAAGCUCAAAUUUAAAAUCUGGCGGUCUCUGGCUGUCCGAGUUGUAAUCUAGAGAAGUGUUAUCCGCGCUGGACCGUGUACAAGUCUCCUGGAAUGGAGCGUCAUAGAGGGUGAGAAUCCCGUCUUUGACACGGACUGCCAGUGCUUUGUGAUGCGCUCUCAAAGAGUCGAGUUGUUUGGGAAUGCAGCUCAAAAUGGGUGGUAAAUUCCAUCUAAAGCUAAAUAUUGGCGAGAGACCGAUAGCGAACAAGUACCGUGAGGGAAAGAUGAAAAGAACUUUGGAAAGAGAGUUAAACAGUACGUGAAAUUGUUGAAAGGGAAACGCUUGAAGUCAGUCGCGUUGGCCAGGGAUCAACCUUGCUUUUGCUGGGUGUACUUUCUGGUUGAUGGGUCAGCAUCAAUUUUGACCGUUGGAUAAAGUCCAGGGGAAUGUGGCAUCUUCGGAUGUGUUAUAGCCCUUGGUCGCAUACAACGAUUGGGAUUGAGGAACUCAGCACGCCGCAAGGCCGAGAAUUUAUUCUACGUUCGUGCUUAGGAUGCUGGCAUAAUGGCUUUAAUCGACCCGUCUUGAAACACGGACCAAGGAGUCUAACAUGCCUGCGAGUGUUUGGGUGG